rnacentral:sRNA from 1 species
AAUCUACUCUAUUAUUUGAGACGUACGUUAAGUGAUUCUCGGUUAAAAUUUUUUUUUUACCUUUAAAUCAUAUGUUUAAA